GACGAACGCUGGCGGCGUGCUUAACACAUGCAAGUCGAACGGAAAGGCCUUUUCGGAGGUACUCGAGUGGCGAACGGGUGAGUAACACGUGGGUGAUCUGCCCUGCACUCUGGGAUAAGCCUGGGAAACUGGGUCUAAUACCGGAUAGGACCGCACUUUAGUGUGUGUGGUGGAAAGUUUUUUCGGUGUAGGAUGAGCCCGCGGCCUAUCAGCUUGUUGGUGGGGUAAUGGCCUACCAAGGCGGCGGCGGGGAGCCGGACUGCGAGGUUGGUCGUCCACAUUGGGACUGAGCUACGGCCCAGACUCCUACUGGAGGCAGCAGUGGGGAAGAUUGCACAAUGGGCGCAAGCCUGAUGCAGCGACGCCGCGUGGGGGAUGACGGCCUUCGGGUUGUAACCUCCUUUCGCCAGGGACGAAGCGUUUUGUGACGGUACCUGGAGAAGAAGCACCGGCUAACUACGUG
rnacentral:rRNA from 1 species